GACAGAGGGUGCACACGUUGUUCGGAAUUACUGGGCGUAAAGCGCGUGUAGGCGGCCCUGCAAGUCGGAUGUGAAAUCCCACGGCUCAACCGUGGAAGUGCAUUCGAAACUGCAGGGCUAGAGUCCUGGAGAGGAAGGUGGAAUGCUUGGUGUAGAGGUGAAAUUCGUAGAUAUCAAGCGGAACACCGGUGGCGAAGGCGGCCUUCUGGACAGUGACUGACGCUGAGACGCGAAAGCGUGGGGAGCAAACAGG
rnacentral:rRNA from 1 species